ensembl:lincRNA
AAACAAACAGGAUAAAGUAAUUAGAAUGAAUGAAGGAAGGAAGGAAGGAAGGAAGCAAUCAAGGAAGGAAGAAAGAAAGAAAGAGAGGCCGGUGGUAUGCCACACGAUGGUAGGAUUUGCUGAAGGAAGCAGAGGCAGGCGGAUUUCCACAGAGAAACCCUGUCUCAGAAAAAAAAAAGAAGUAAAAGAAAUAGAAUAAUAAAAAGCCAUGUAAAGAUGGAAAAUACACAGAGUCUAGAUACUGUAUGCUAUAUUUUUGUCUUUAAAUUGUUUGAUUGCCGAGGAAAGAACAACAACUGCUAAAGACAUUUGAUUAUCAAUGUUGCUAAAUUAAUCUAACAUAUAUAUUUUAAAAAUGCUUUGACUUCUAAAUUUAAAUAUAAGGACAGGUUACUUGGAAAAAGUGUUUUUGCUUAUGUUUCCACAGAAAACGUAAAGCUAUGGAUUCCUUCCAGACUAAUAUGGUUUGAUCAAGCUAGAACCUCUGCAGCAGUGGCCCAACUGAUCCUACAUCCAAAAGAACUGAGAUGAUGCAGUCAUAGACGACUACAGCCAGCAUCUUUACCUGCUGUUUCUCAAUCCACACUCCCCAUGUCUCAGGUCUGAGCCAAGCAAGUCAGCUGGAUCUGACCGAAGCCCCAUAAAGACAGGUUUUCCUUAAUUGAAAGCACAUUUCCAAAUGAGAUACAUCGAAUUAACAUCACCAUCACUUGUGCCAUAUACUGAGCAUAUGCCCGACAAGAGUGGACACAUGCCGCCUGCAUCCUUGAUCACAUUAUAUGCCCAGAAGGCAGCAAAGACGCUACUGAGAAAGAACAUUGUCAAAGGCGCUCCCUGGAUCCUGCUGUUUUUACGGAUUAUGCUCUCGGAUGGACGUAAAUCAAACAAUCGAAAUUAUGUUUUCUCAGAUCUAACACUAAAGCCCUGGGCUUCUGGAAUUCCCUUACUUGUUUCUUUGCUUGUGAUUCUUUUGAAAAUUUGUCUUUUGUUUUCUCCAAAGAGAUCUGAAAAGAGCAGGGCUCUCUGUGGGAUCAAGGCUGUAAGGAAGACCAGCCUUUGCUUAAACAGGCAUAUGGUGGGUUUGUGAUGUCUCGGCAUGAGUUUUAAAGUUGCCAGAGGUGAGAGGGGUGACUAAAGCUUUGAGAACCAAGGAAAACUACCAAAGAAGCUCAUUUUUAUAAAUGCUAUUGUCUUAUAUAACCCGCUGGAAGACACCCAGUUCUCCCUUGCAAGAGCUCCUAUGAGUCAAUUUGUCAUUUGAUAUUUUGUAGAGUUUGCAGUAAACUGGAAGUCGGUGAAGUCUACUAAGCCCCAAUGACAAACUAUGCUUCACUUUAAUUAUUUGGGAAAUGAACCAGAAGGAAACUGUUUUACCUUCCUUUUUCAAACCCAACUUCAUUCAAUGUCUGGAGCAAUGUCUUCCUGUAAUAGCAAGUGUUCAGGAAUGGCAUGAAGGGUUAAAUGGAAUUUUGAAAGAUUUUCUUCAUUUGGAAUAUGGGACUGAAACACACAAAGCCAGGAAGUUUUGCCUUUCUGCCUUCCUAACCUCUGGAGACGUCAGUUAUCCAAACAUCUGGGGUUGAAAGUCCCCCUUUACCCUCCUGCCCUGUACCCCAACCCACCUCUCCUUCUUGUGCUGGCUAGUUUUGUGCCAACAUGACAGUAGAUGAGCUAGAGUUCUUUCACAAGAGGGAACCUCAGUUGAGAAAAUGACACCACCAAAUUGGCCUGUGGCAAGCCUGUGAUGAGUCUUCUUGAUUAAUGAUGAAUGUGGGAGAGCCCCACUCUCUAUGGGUAGUGUCACCCAUUGAGUAGUUGUCCUGGGUGCUAUAAGAAAGCAGACUGAACAAACCAUGUAAGCAGUAUUCAUUAGUCCAUGGCCUCCACUUCAGUUCCUGCCUCCAGGACUCCUGCUCCACCUUUCAUGGAUGAUGGACUAUGAACCGUUAAGAUGAAAUAAACCCUUUCCUUCCAAGUUGCUUUUGAUCAGGGCAUUUAUUACAGCAAUAGGAACCUAACUAGACAUGUCUCCUCUCUUUUUCCUGAUCCUACUACUCUUGUUCCUCUCUCCCCAUCUUGUCCCUUCUCCUUUUCCUCUUCCUUAGCAUCUACAACCAAGGAGUUUAUAGACAUAAAGAACACAACCAAUGGGAGAACAGGGUACCACUUUAUUCAUAGUUGAACAAGUGCUCAAUAUUCCCAACCCUAAGCUCUUAGAAAGGCAGUUUUGGGAAACACUGGGUGUAAGGGAAGGCAGAGCCGCUAAGCUUACCAGGGAGUCUGUGCUCCAAAAUGCCCAAAAAGGCUUACAAAGAGAUCUUACAGCAAGAUGGCAUAUAUUCCCAAGGCCCUCUACGUUCUUGGGAAACUAAAGAAGGACACACAUUUUGUUUUUCUUCUUAAAUCCCAGCCAGCCUUCAAGAGCUGCCCAAGUGGACCCAAGAAACAAAAGUAGAGUGAAUCACACAGGCUUGUCCUUCAACACAGAGGGAUUCUGACCAAGGUGAAAUACAGCCUGUUGUUGAGCAUGUUCUCAGCAUCCAGAAAGCAAGGCGUGCUGCCUUGGUUCCUCAGAUAUCACAAUAUGCAUGGAGACUGGAGGCAUGGGCAGAAGAAUGGAAGCAUUAUGGAAACAGGGGACAAAAGGGUCCAGGAUACAGAGUCAGUACAUAGUUCUACAGUUAGUUUAGGGUGAUGUUUGGUCUGUUUUACAAAAGAAACCUAGACAUAGAGCCCUGGAACCUCUCACAAUUAUUAGAGGACAUACCAUCUGCAUGCCCCCCCUCCUGUCACCUCUCCUUGUGACCCCCACUCUGCUGCCAUUGCAUUAGGCUGUGUCUUAGGUCCUCAAGCAGUCUCCAUAGCUUGUGUCUUUAUUAACCCUGUGUAAAUAAACGAGUGCCUUCUGUAAGGCUCAGCCGAGACAUUGCUUCCAUGAGAAAAUCUGUGACUGCAACAGGAAACAGCCAAGCCUGAAGUGUGUCUGGCAAUGCAGAGAGCAAGGAUCUUGAAUUGCAGUCUGAACUGUGACAAUGGCCUCCAGUUUUCUAGCUCUGACCCUGAGCAAGUCAUUUGCCUCUUUCUUUCUUUUUUUUUUUUUAUGUUGGAAAUUGCCAUGUCAUAUGAAUGUACAUCAUUUACAACUCUAGAGAAACAUAGAUCACAAGAUAUGGAGCCUAUUACUGUUUAUAGGUUUAUUUUAGUGGGGAAUUAUAAGAUUUGGUGAAAUACAUUUAUCUGUAGAUUGUUUGGUUAGUUUAUGUCAGCUUGACACAAGCUAUAGUCAUUUGAGAGGAGGAAACCUCAAUUGAGGAAAAUGUUUCCAUAAGACUGGGAUGUAGGUAAGCCUGUAUAGCAUUUUACUAAUUAGUGCCAUCCUGGGCUGGUAGUCUUGGGUUCUAUAAGAAAGCAGACUGAGCAAGCCAUGAGGAGCAAGCCAAUAAGCAGCACUCCUCCAUACACUCUGCAUCAGCUCCUGCCUCCGGGUUCCUGCCCUGAAUGAGUUCCUGUCCUGAUUUCCUUUGAUGAAAAAUUGUGAUAUGGAAGAUUAAGCCAAAUAAACCCUUUCC